ACUUUUUAUCGCGUUCCCGUGGGACGUGACAUAAAACGUGGUAUAACAAAACGCAACUGAUAUGGAAUAACAAAACGCAACUGACAGCUAAACGUUCUAUGGUUAAAUAAAGUAAAAUUUUGAAGUUGACCGGUUGAUGUGUUUGAAACAAACCGUGUGGCGGAACAAAGUUCGCCGGGUCCGCUAGUUAUUUAUAAAUUACAACAUAAUUUCUUUCCCUGUAAAUAUAAACUCAUCAUUGUUAAUUACUAACUGUGGAAGACGAUGACACAGAGAACGGUAAUACGAGCGAAAUGAGUAAUAAAAAUAUAUUUUUCUUAAAGCGCUUCCUCGAUAGAUCGCUUGAGGAAUAACUUUACCUAUUCUUCUAUUCACUUUAUCUAUUCACAAGGAACAUCUUAUUGUUUCAUCAUCAUCAUCAAGAAACAUGUGUAUAUGUAUCUACACUCAAGUUCAGCUAAUCAUUCAACACACUUUACAUUAAUUGAUUAAUUACGUUGCUCCAAUCAAAGAGAGUCGCCACACGAAACGCAAUAAGCAAUUGAAAUUGAACGAAUUAUUACAGUAAUAAACGUCACUGAAAUUGUUCAUGAAACUCAAUUAGUCUUUCUUGUUUUUCUCGUAUUUCCCGUUUGGAAAACGAAAUGAUUUUAAAAGCUCUACAUAUCUUCGCACUGCUGCAUCUGAGCACGCAAUGGAAGACAACGGACGACCUACCGAUCCUUGGAGAAUUGGGCUGUGGUAGCUGCGAAAGGGUUUACGCGCCUGUCUGCGCCAGCGACGGGCAGACCUACGUUAACGAAUGCCGUAUGAACUGUAAGAACUCUUUAAGGGAUCCCAAAGAGAGAGUGUUCGUGAAAAGAUACGGUCGCUGCGUACUGCAAAGCAGACGAUUCGUUCGUCUAAGAAAUAAGAAAUACAAAUAAAAUGAUCCUGCAUUGAAUUAAAUAUAAUUAGUCUUAAAAUAUAAGCCAUCUGAUCAUAAAUAUAAAUGUAAUAUAAAUAUAAA